rnacentral:rRNA from 1 species
GACGAACGCUGGCGGCGUGCCUAAUACAUGCAAGUCGAACGCAUUUUCUUUCACCUUAUCUUGCUCUCCCGAAAGAAACUGAUUAGUGAACGGUUGAGUAACACGUCUUUAACCUGCCCUUCAUCGUGGGAUAACACUUGGAAACAGGUUCUAAUACCCUAUAAUUCCAUUUACCGCAUGGUAUUUGGAUGAAUGGCGCUUUUGCGUCACCUUUGCAUGUUCCCGCGGUGCUUGAGCUAGUUCGUGGGGUUACGGCGUACCAAGGCUGCGAUGCAUAGCCGAACGGAGAGGGUGAGCGGCCACCCUGGGAGUGAGACACGGCCCAGAGGCCUACGGGAAGCAGCAGUAGGGAAUCUUCGGCAAUGGGCGCAAGACUGAGCGAGAAAGGCCGAGUGAGUGAAGAAGGUUUUCGGAUCGUAAAACUCUGUUGUUAGAGAAGAACAAGGAUGAGAGUGGAAAGUUCAGCCCUUGACGGUAUCUAACCAGAAAGCAACGGCUAACUACGUG